rnacentral:rRNA from 1 species
CCUACGGGUGGCAGCAGUGAGGAAUAUUGGUCAAUGGCCGGAAGGCUGAACCAGCCAAGCAGCGUGCGGGAGGACGGCGCAGAGCGUCGCAGACUUCUUUUGUCGGGGGACAAAAUGCCGGACUCGUCCGGUCCUGAGGGUACCCGGAGAAAAAGGAUCGGCUAACUCCGUGCCAGCAGCCGCGGUAAUACGGAGGAUGCGAGCGUUAUCCGGAUUCAUUGGGUUUAAAGGGUGCGCAGGCGGGCCUUUAAGCGGGCGGUGAAAUCGCGGGGCUCAACCCCGCCCAGCGGGCGGAACUGGGGGCCUUGAGUGCGGGGGAGGCAUGCGGAAUGCGCGGUGUAGCGGUGAAAUGCAUAGAUAUCGCGCAGAACCCCGAUUGCGAAGGCAGCGUGCCGUGCCGCCACUGACGCUGAGGCACGAAAGCGCGGGGAUCGAACAGGAUUAGAUACCCUAGUAGUC